CCUGUCUCCAUUGUGUAAAGAACAGACAUUUCUGUAGAAAUUUGAGAGAACCUUUAAAAACAUAAGUGGAGUAGUCAAAGUUAUUUUUUGUGAUUGCUGAAAGUACCCUCUUCCUUGCAUAUACAAAAGGUGAAUACUCAUUUGCUUGGAUUUUUGAUAAACGGUAUCAGAAAAGGUUAGUGAAAGGGCCACUUAAGUCAGGUGCUAUAUAGCUAGAUGCAGCCACUCAUGUUAACACACAUACUUAAAUAGGGAGGGGUUUAGAAUAAGACAUCACUUGAAUUAAAAUGAGUUUUGAAUCUCAAAGAGAUCUGGAACCAUCAUUAAUGAACUAUUGAAAGCUGUGUUUACAGCACAUUGUAAAUAAAUAAGCCCCAGAGAGUUACUAACACAGCACAAAAUGCCUAUGUAUGCAUAAUUAGUUAGUUCCUGUGCUGAACAAACAUGCACCUUUAGCAAAAUUGAUAAAAUGCCAUGAUUGUUUGGGUUCUACUGGAAAGUUUCAAACAAUAUUCAUAUAUUACACUAUUCUAAAUGUGCAGAACAACUUAUCAAGUGUUUGAUAUUUAAAA